GUGCCAGCCGCCGCGGUAAUACAGAGGGUGCGAGCGUUAAUCGGAAUUACUGGGCGUAAAGAGUGCGUAGGUGGCUAUGUAAGUCAGGUGUGAAAUCCCGGAGCUUAACUUCGGAAUUGCGCUUGAUACUGUGUAGCUAGAGUUUAGUAGAGGGCAGUGGAAUUUCCGGAGUAGCGGUGAAAUGCGUAGAUAUCGGAAGGAACACCAGUGGCGAAGGCGACUGCCUGGACGAAAACUGACACUGAGGCACGAAAGCGUGGGUAGCAAACAGGAUUAGAUACCCCUGUAGUCC
rnacentral:rRNA from 1 species